UCUAGCUUGCUAUUGCUUUUUUUUUUUUUUAAUUGCAGAUUGGUGAAACUAUGGCCAUUUACUCUAAAUAAGCAGUUUCCCCUCCCAUUGUUUGGCCACUGUGAAGAGAAGGGAGCCUUCCAAUGUCCCCUGACAUCUUACUGCCUAUUUCUCAGCUCUUUUACCUAUGUCUCCCAGUGGAGAUUUGAGCAAGCAGGUAUCUAGCUGGGUAUGGCCCAGAGUGAUCCUCCACCCUCAUGAAAUUCUCUUUUGGUCUCUGCUUUAAUUUACAUAUUCUUGUCAAUUUUAUAUCUUACUCCAUAAAAUAUCUUAAUAUAUUACGUCUAAUUACAUUAUUCCCUCAAAGUCUUUGAGUAACAUUGAGAUCCCAAGAAGACAAACAUUCAUCCCGAAAACAUAUCCCUAUUGGAAAAUCUCAAACCAAAAUCAUUUCUGGCUACAGCAGGUCAGCAGGUUGGGGGAGGGACAGCCCAGGUUAGACCAUCAGGGACGAUGGUAUGAAGGGGUCUUCGUGAAGCCCUGAGCUAUCUAGCCCACUAGGAUACAGACAUGUGGAAAGAAGAAAGGUCAUGAGCAAAGGUCUGGAGGUGAACACAAAUGAAACCCUCAAGGAACCACAAAGAAGUUUUGUUCCCAAACCCAGGAACCAAGCUUCUUUCUCACCUGAAAGUCACUAAUCUUUGUGUCUCAUUCCAGGAAAGCCUGAUCCCACAGGAGCCAGAUUUGCUGUCCCAGGGCCAUCAGUCAUCUUCAGCAAGCACGCCAUUUCUUCUACUCUCUUCUCGAACUCUCUACACAUUUUCCAUCUGGACAGGAGGCCCCGGGCAAGCAUGUUUGGCACCAGGCAUUCCUCAUAUGCCUCCCUUAGGACUUACGGUCAUUAAGAAAUUUCACAUAAUGAACACUUUGGCUCCAAAGCACCCAGCUUUCCUUGUCCCUGUCUGCAGCCAGCUUUCAGGUUCCACCCUCCCCUGUCUCAGGUCAGGGACCUUCCCACCGUGGGACUCAUUCUUACUUCCCUCCCUCUUCCCUUCCUUUCUGUGUAGCUUCCUUCCUGGAAGUGUCGAUGAGGGCUGAAAGCCAAGGGGAGGAUGAAUCAUGAUCUUCAAUCACUUCUGCUACAUGAAGUGUGAGCUGCCUCAGCAUGUGAGCUAAUUAGCUUAAGCCAGAACACGCCCAUGUUUUGCUUCCCAUAUUGGCUGUCUUCCUCUGGGUUCAAGUGGAGACAUCAAGAGACAAAGCCAGGGUAGUAGAUGCUGUGACCCUGACUCCUCUUCAGGACCGUUGGGAGAGCUGCUAGCCAGAGGCAGAAAUCUGCUCUCAGCUGGAGAAGGCCUCGGGGACAGCCACAUGCAAUGACCCGUCGCUGUGCAGAAGAGAGGUCCACACCCCUCGCUCCAAUUUCCAAUAACACUGAUGGUCAUCUCUGGAGCUCCCUCUGGGGCCAGCUGAGGCCUCUGAUGAGACUAUUUUGCAGUCCACAUUUUCUCUCUGCCCGAACCUGCUUCACUGCCUUCCCUUCCACAUCCACAGGUGUGGAUCCCAAGAACAUUCCCUAAUAAACGUCCCGCAUGCUAAUCUACACCUCAGAGUCCGCUUCCAGGGAGCCCGGCCUGCAGUGCCUGAACAUCUGAGUGACUCUGGAGCCUACAGACUCUCAACGGAUUCAACUACUGCUCAGCUACUGUUCUCAACCCUCUUCUGAGGCUGCUGGUUAUACCCCAAGGCUGAUGACCUUCUCCUCUCUUCCUGGGACCAGUGGUUCCCACUGGGACAGCUGCUUUGGGGCAUCAGACAGCCUCUGGGUGUUCUACCAUUGUCAUAAGGCUCGGAUGGCCCAAGGCGGCCUCAACUUUGACUAGGGCUGGAGUCUCUACGUUGACUGUAGCUUAAUAUAUCUGCCCUCCCAUGAAGUAAGUAAAGAAACGUAUUCCCUUUGUCUUGUAUACAUCUUUUGAGCUGACCCCCCUAGCAGGAUAGCAUGGAUGCUAAAUGGGUGUGGUUCAUCUUAUAUUGUCCACAAACUCUUUCCCACUCAGGAUCAUACAUAGGCUCUCCAGGUGGUAGCGUCAGGUUGGGGUUGAAUAACAGACUCCAAAAUAUAACUGGAAACCCUCAACCUAGCUAACCCAAGGAGUUCAAGUUCUUUUCCAGAAGUCUCCUCACAUUCCAUGCAAUUGAGUUGCCACAAACAGAUGUGAAGAAAUUGUAACCUAACUCUCCACAAACCAAGUAUGUUUGCUUUGCACGAUAGCGCAAGUUGAUAAAAAUGACGCAUAUGUUGCAACCCUACAAAGCGCUCUUGAUAAUCAAUGGGAAGACAAUUGUUUCAUGACCUUUAAAUACUUUUGGUCAAAACUUUAAAAACUCUCUUACUGUUGGCUAUAAAUGCAUUAGGAAAUGAAAAAUUAGCAAAAUUAAUAUUUACACGUUCUACUGUAAUUUAAAACAUUAGAAACAUUGAGGAUUAAAGUGCUUUCUUUCUUUCUAAAAAAAAGCUUAUCAAAAGUAGUUUGAGCAGUUUUUACCUUCUUCCUCUCAUUGUGUAACUUGUGAUGUGCAGCUGGCACCUUUUCUAUGCCUUUGUGUGCUGUCGUGCUCCUUAUGAAUUUUGGAUCAGCUUACAUUGGUUUAUCUUUCACUCUUGCAAUGCGAUGAAAUGCCUAUGAGCAUUUCUUAAAGGUGAAAUUUUGUUGUUGUUGUUGUUGGUAUCACUUCUCCUGGAACACUUUCUCAGGAUUGGGGUGCAAAUUUCUGGGUGCACAAGUCAUUUAACAUCAACCAAAUCAUGCUGAAUUCUGACAUGAUGAAACCAGCCUUUAUUGGCAGUAAAUGGUUCAUCUUCAGUCUCCUCGUGAUUGACUUUGUUGUUGUUAUUGCAACUGGCUUCAAUCCUCUGCUCUGAAUGGUAGCCAGACUAAUUAGGAUUUUAAAAUAUUAUGGUCUUCUACCCAAAGUAGAAAAUAUUCCAUUUAAACCAUAAGCGGCUUUAUGUUUCAACUGCAAUUAAAAUGGAAAAAUAAUGAAGUGACUUUACCUGUUUUUUUAUACUCAUUGGGCUUUUCCAGUAAGAUCAGCACCAUAGCUUCUAGUAGCUUCGUGUCUCCUCUGAUCUUUGCUUUGUUGUUGCCAUCUUCAAAUCUAUCCACAUCCAAUUUUGCUGCCAGUGUUGUCACUUUUUACUUCCUUGCUGUACUUCUAUUUUUUGUCAGCAAAUCCUCUAUAGAGUCUCCAUUUCUGUAAAAUGCCAUGUGGGUUUAUCACUAGGAGGCAAGGAGGCAACACAGCCACACACUUUGCUGCCUGUGCCUGAACUGAGUCCCAGAAGCAUGGUGACCAAUCACGGAAAGACUUCCAAAGGAGUGAUGAGAUUGGUCACUUCACCAUCAAUCUGUAGUCUGAAAAGCAGGCAGUGAAAUUUGUACUUUACACAAAUGGAUAGUGGCAUGUGAUUACUUUUGGCCAAUGAAUUGUGAGCAGAAGUUACACGUAUCACCUCCAUGCUGAAGCAUUUGAUUGCCACUCAGUACUGGCACAGCCCUUGAGACUAUCUGAGAAAGUAGCUACUCUAUUAGCCAGGGUCCCUGAGCAACUAAGCUGAGCAGAGGCUUCUGCUAAGAUGUCAUAGGCAUAUAGCUUAAGCAGUAAGUAAACCUUUGUCUUAACCUAUAGACAUCUCAAGGUUGUUUGUUUCUGCAAUGUAAUAGCCUGUUCUGACUGAUAUAUAUAAUUAGGAGAGUCUAGGAAAAGGAGGAUAGGAAAUUGGGCAGAAUUCAGAACCCAGAGAUUGGCAGCUAAUGGUUAAAAGGGCUCCAAACUGGGACGCCUGGGUGGCUCAGCAGUUGAACUGCCUUUGGCUCAGGUCGUGAUCCCAGGGUCCCGGGAUCGAGUUCCCCAUCGGG